CAUUGCGGCAGGCUACACAUGCAGUCGAGCGGUAGCACAGAGAGCUUGCUCUCGGGUGACGAGCGGCGGACGGGUGAGUAAUGUCUGGGAAACUGCCUGAUGGAGGGGGAUAACUACUGGAAACGGUAGCUAAUACCGCAUAACGUCGCAAGACCAAAGUGGGGGACCUUCGGGCCUCAUGCCAUCAGAUGUGCCCAGAUGGGAUUAGCUGGUAGGUGGGGUAACGGCUCACCUAGGCGACGAUCCCUAGCUGGUCUGAGAGGAUGACCAGCCACACUGGAACUGAGACACGGUCCAGACUCCUACGGGAGGCAGCAGUGGGGAAUAUUGCACAAUGGGCGCAAGCCUGAUGCAGCCAUGCCGCGUGUGUGAAGAAGGCCUUCGGGUUGUAAAGCACUUUCAGCGGGGAGGAAGGCGGUGAGGUUAAUAACCUCAUCGAUUGACGUUACCCGCAGAAGAAGCACCGGCUAACUCCGUGCCAGCAGCCGCGGUAAUACGGAGGGUGCAAGCGUUAAUCGGAAUUACUGGGCGUAAAGCGCACGCAGGCGGUCUGUCAAGUCGGAUGUGAAAUCCCCGGGCUCAACCUGGGAACUGCAUUCGAAACUGGCAGGCUAGAGUCUUGUAGAGGGGGGUAGAAUUCCAGGUGUAGCGGUGAAAUGCGUAGAGAUCUGGAGGAAUACCGGUGGCGAAGGCGGCCCCCUGGACAAAGACUGACGCUCAGGUGCGAAAGCGUGGGGAGCAAACAGGAUUAGAUACCCUGGUAGUCCACGCUGUAAACGAUGUCGAUUUGGAGGUUGUGCCCUUGAGGCGUGGCUUCCGGAGCUAACGCGUUAAAUCGACCGCCUGGGGAGUACGGCCGCAAGGUUAAAACUCAAAUGAAUUGACGGGGGCCCGCACAAGCGGUGGAGCAUGUGGUUUAAUUCGAUGCAACGCGAAGAACCUUACCUGGUCUUGACAUCCACAGAACUUUCCAGAGAUGGAUUGGUGCCUUCGGGAACUGUGAGACAGGUGCUGCAUGGCUGUCGUCAGCUCGUGUUGUGAAAUGUUGGGUUAAGUCCCGCAACGAGCGCAACCCUUAUCCUUUGUUGCCAGCGGUCCGGCCGGGAACUCAAAGGAGACUGCCAGUGAUAAACUGGAGGAAGGUGGGGAUGACGUCAAGUCAUCAUGGCCCUUACGACCAGGGCUACACACGUGCUACAAUGGCAUAUACAAAGAGAAGCGACCUCGCGAGAGCAAGCGGACCUCAUAAAGUAUGUCGUAGUCCGGAUUGGAGUCUGCAACUCGACUCCAUGAAGUCGGAAUCGCUAGUAAUCGUAGAUCAGAAUGCUACGGUGAAUACGUUCCCGGGCCUUGUACACACCGCCCGUCACACCAUGGGAGUGGGUUGCAAAAGAAGUAGGUAGCUUAACCUUCGGGAGGGCGCUACCACCUUGGAUCCAGGG
rnacentral:rRNA from 1 species